rnacentral:rRNA from 1 species
ACAUGCAUACAACAUAGCGUUAAUGCACUAGAUCCCAUUAGAACUCUGCAGUUAAGCACGCUCAGGCUAGAGUAGUACUCGGAUGGGUGACCAGCUGGGAAGUCAUAAUAUUUUGCAUUCC